rnacentral:ncRNA from 21 species
UAAAGUAUUUUACUUUUAUUAGAA